UCACCCGGCGGCCGCCGGCCCUCGGGUUCGCUCGCCCGAGGACAGCUCUUCCAGGGGCGGGAGAGCCACCGCCGCUCCGUGCGCGCCCCGGACGCGCUCCUUCGCUCCUGGAGGGAUUCAUGGGCUUCCCUGGUGACUCAGAGGGGAAAGAAUCUGCCUACAUUGCAGAAAACCUGGGUUUGGUCCCUGGGUUGUGAAGAUCCCCUGGAAGAGGGCAUGGCAACCCACUCCAGGUCUCCUCAACAAUGUAGAAUACAGAAUACUGACAAGAGUAUUAGUAGUAAACUAAGAAGAACAGAGAAAUUGAAUUAAAAGUGAGAAAAUGGAGAGAGUCAAAAUGCACAGGAUGGUUGAAUGACAUCACUGACUCAAUGGGCAUGAGUUUGAGCAAGCUCCAGGAGAUGGUGAAGGACAAGGAAGCCUGGCAUGCUGAGGUCCAUGGACAUGAAUGAGUGACUGAACAACAAGAAGAUAUAGACUGAAUAGUAUCUUGAACCUGUCCUGUUCCAUUAUACCAUUUUACUACAAUGUGGCCAUGCUUAGAGUUGCUUUAAAAAAUAAAUUUUUCAUAUCAAGCCAUCAUUUGUAUAUCUUUAUGAAAGGAUGCAGACACAUUACCAUAAUUUGAACUUUCAUGAUUCUAGUCACUUAGAACCUGAAUAAAAUAGGAACAAACAGGGAUUAUUGCACCUUGUUGAAUUUCU